CACGUAGGGUGCAAGCGUUAUCCGGAUUCACUGGGUUUAAAGGGUGCGUAGGCGGGCAGGUAAGUCCGUGGUGAAAUCUCUGAGCUUAACUCAGAAACUGCCAUGGAUACUAUUUGUCUUGAAUAUUGUGGAGGUGAGCGGAAUAUGUCAUGUAGCGGUGAAAUGCUUAGAUAUGACAUAGAACACCCAUUGCGAAGGCAGCUCACUACACAAUGAUUGACGCUGAGGCACGAAAGCGUGGGGAUCAAACAGG
rnacentral:rRNA from 1 species